rnacentral:misc_RNA from 1 species
UGGCGAAUGACAAAAACAUCCGGUUAGCUUGAGGGAGGAAGUGGGCAGACACGGAGUUGUGUUAAACACCGGCUUCAAAAAUGUCUGUCUUUAAGAGAUUUCGCGGAAAGAAGGACACUAACACUGAGCAGGAUUCAUCCCCAACCCUUGCCAGCCGCUUUUCCUUCCCCAGUUUCAAUCGCACACAGUCACAAUCCCAGCCCGUUGAAGCAGAAUCUCCCAGCAUCGAUGAAGCACAGGGCUUUCUGUGUCCCAUGUGUAUGCAGUCGCUCAGGUCAGCUGAGGCGUUGCAGAUGCACUUUGACAUAGAGCACGGCGAGACGGAUCAACUCAAGGACCAGGGAGAGGGCUUCCUCUGCCCGAUCUGCAAGAAGUCGUUGUCCUCCCCCGAGGAACUGACGGAACACUACCAGUCAAUCCACGAGAGCCCGGGGGGACCCACAGAGAAUAGAAACAGGAGAGAUGGUGAUGUGUUGGCCCUGAGACAGGAGAUCGAGGACCUGAGGGCGUCCCUGAAGGAGGAGAAGUGGUACACUGAUGAACUCAAGAGGGAGCUGGAGAAGCAGCAGCAGAACGGAGAGGUUCCUGAUGCCCUGUCUGCCGAGACAAAGAAUGAGCUGGAAUUGUUGCGGAUGCAGCUGAAAGGCUCAGAAGAGAGUAGAACCCUCUUGAGUUCCGAGGUGCACCACCUCCAGGCACAGAUGUCAGAGGUCACAGGUCAACUGACGGCUGUGAAGGAGGAGAAGGGGAGGAUUGAACAGAAGACAGCGCAUCUGGCUGGUGAAAUGGUGAGUGUGAAGGCCAAGGCUGAUGAGAGCGAAGGUCAGAGGGCAGCGCUGGAGGACCACAUCCGGACACUGAAGGUUCAGCUGGAUGAGAAGGAUAGCUAUGUUAGAAGUGUGGAGUCCCAGUUGUCCCAGAGGCCCGGGGCUGAUGAUGUUCUGGUGCUGAAGCAGGAACUCAUCAGUGUUCAGACUCUGAUGGACAAGAUGACUCUGGAGAGGGAGAAGGAGAAGGAUGACCUGGAGCGGGACUACAAGGCCCUGAAGGAGAAGUACCAGGAAUCUGAUGUGAAGAUGAAGGAGCUGAAAGUUGAGCUGGAGAAGGCGCCCAAACUGGAGGAGGUGGCACACCUUCAGACUGCUCUGAGUGAGCGAGACUCAGGAUCUCAGCACCUGACCUCCAGUCUGCAGCAAAAGGAAUCCGAGAUCAGAGACCUCAUUGAGCACAAGGCGAAGCUGACCCAGCAGCUUGAGGAUGUGAGACUGGCAUCGGGGGACCAGCAGACAGCCAUCAGCAAGAUGCAGGACGACUACACCAGUCUGGAGGAGGAGAAGCGCAACCUGGAAAACAAACUGCGCACCACCGAGGCCAACAUCGCAGAACUCGGACAGGAUCUUGAUAAGCUGCAUGGCAAGCUGGAAGAGGUGCAGCUGCAGCUGACAGAAAGAACCAGUCAGCUGUCUGAGCUGCAGUCUGCCCUGGAUGAGAGAGAGGCUAAGAUUAGCCAAUCAGAGCAGGAGAACCAGAUGAGGACUGGGAAGCUUUCUGAGGUUGGGGAGGAUCUUAUCAAGACUCGCAAGGUUGUGCAGGAGAAGGAGAAGGCCUUGGCAGAUCUCCAGAAGCAGCUGUCCGAGUCCAAGUCCGACUUCCAAGACCAGCUCCACCAGAAGGAGCAGCUGGUCAACGACCUCAAACUCAACCUGGAGAAGAUGGAGGCAGCUGUGGAGACUAAGGUGUCGGAGAUCAACGACCUCAACCAGCAGCUAACACAUGUACACAAACAGUACGAGGAUGAGGUGCAUGUGUGUGACGAAAUGCGGGGGGAGCUGAGAGACACCCAGGCUAAACUGGAGGAGGAAUCAAGGAGGGGAGAGUCCAGAGAGAGUCAGUGUGCGGAGCUUGAGGGUCAGCUACAGCAGCUGAAGGAGGGAGUACAGAGACUCGAGACGGAGAGGGGAGACCUCUUUGCCAAGAUUGAGGCUGGUGAGGGAGUGAGUGAAGCCAUGAACCAGCUGAAGCAGGAAAACGCAAGUCUGCAAGAGAAGAUCAAAGAACUCCAAGAAAACCUGCAAUCUCAAACAGGGGAGAGUUCAAGCAAACAGGAAGCACUUCAUAAGCAAAUGACAGAGUUGAAAGGUCAGCUUCAGACAGAGCAGGACAAAUGUCAGAAGCUACAGUUGACGGUGGAUGAGAGGACGGAGAGGAUGAAUGCGUCUCAGCAGAAGCUGCAGCAAACAGAGGCUGAUCUCAAGACCAAGAAUGAGCUGCUGUUGGCUGCAGAGGCCGCCAAGACGAGUCAGAGGACCGACCUUGAGAACCACAUCAAGACUGCCCAGAAUGUUGUGGAGGAACGGAACACAGAGCUCGCCACACUACGGAACACGCUAGAACAGACUCAGGCGGAGUUGUCAGCGAAGAAGGACAAGAUCGUGGAGCAGGAGGGGCACCUGAAGGAGGAAGGGGAGAAACUGACCCACAGCAACAAAACUAACAACGCCCUGGAGAGGGAGCUCAAGGAGAAGAAAGACUUCCUGGCUGGUUUACUGAAGGAUAAGAAGGGAGUGGAGGACAGCCUGGCCAAGACAAAGAAGUCGCUGGAGGAGGUCACAAGCCAGAAACUACAGACAGAAAAAGACCUUGAAACUGCAAAAGCAGCUCACAGCAAAGAAGUAUCUAAACUUCAAAAGAAGAUGGAGAAAGACUCUGCUAGUUCUAACAAGUCUAGAGAGGACUUGCAGAAGCAGGUAACUGCUCUGACCGAGGAGAGGAACAAAGUAAGAGAAGAAAAGAUUGACGUUUCCACCGAGCUAGCAGAUCAUCUCGGCCAGCUGAAGACAAAGGAGCAGGAGUUAUCUGCCCUUAGGCAGAAUCUGGAGACUCUCAAGGCACAGAAAGAGGCAGAUGUUGGCAGUUUGAAGACAGAAAAUCAACAAAAAGCUGAAGAGUUCAAGCUGAAACUGUCCACCAUGGAGGAACUGCUGGGAGUGGAGCAGGAAUCUGUGAAAGCAAAAACAUCUGAGAUUGUAGAUUUGAACAAGAAGAUCAGUGAUCUGGACAGUAGUUGCACAGAGCUUGAUGGUGUGAAGACAGAUCUCCAGAGGCAGCUGACUGAACUAAAGAACCAGCUCAACAUACAGAUUACUGAGAAGACCAGUGUACAGAAGGACAUGCAGGAGAGUGUGGCCAGCAAGGAGAGGGAGAACACCGACCUGCAGACACAAGUACAGACCCUGACCGGCAAGUCUGGGGCCCUGGAGAAGAGUGUGGAGGAGUUGCGGACGUCGCUGCGUGAGGGGGAGGAGAAGCAGAAGCAACUGCAGGAGGAGAUAGCCAAGGCCAGGGACAGGGAGAAGGAGCUCAACAACUCCUUCGAGGAACUUAGCGAGGUGCGGACGGCCAUGAAUGGUCAAAUGCUGAAGUUGGACACAGAGCUGAAGGAGACAACAGCCGUCAGAGACCAGCUGCAGAAGCGGAAGGACUCCCUCGAGGAAGAGUUGUCUGCCCUGAAGAAGGCGUUCGAGGAGACGAAGGAAGCAUGUGUGUCAUACAAGAAGGACCGAGAGUCCAUGAGGGAACAGUUACAGACAGAACAGGAACAGAAGAAACAGGAGGUGUCAAGUCUGGAGGAAGCCAAGCAGAUCCUCAUCAACCAGAAGCUGGAGAUUCAGGGCAAACUGGAUUCCUUCGAGGAGCUGCUUGCACAGACGAAGAAUGAAACUGAGAAUGUGAAGUCCGAAUCCACCAAUAUUCAGCAAAUGCUGAGAGAGGAAAACUCAAGUCUUCAGACAAAACUGGCUACUGAGCAACAAGGACGAGAGACGUUGCAGAAGCAGAAGGAUGAGGAUGAGGCUCGGUAUGAGAUGCAGCUGUCUGUGCUCAACGAAAACUUGACCACUGUCCGGUCAGACCUGACGGUCAACCAGCAGAAUGUGGAGGACCUCACCAGGAUCAACGACGAGCUGAGGGGGGAGAAGCUAGAACUGGAAGCCAAACUGGAAAACAAUAAUGAAGAAAGAAGGAUGCUUGUUGACAGGUGCUUGACCAGUGAGAAGGAGUGCGAGAAGUUGAGGGAGAAAGUGACGGAAACGCGACGGAAGUUAGAUGAUACCCAGGCUGCCCUGCAUGAACUAGGCCGAGAGAACCAGUCACUCCAGAUCGUGAGCACAAAGGUACAGAACAGGAAGUGGGCGGAUGACAGCCAGGUGAUGGAGUGCAUGGGGUGUAACAAGGCCUUCUCCAUGACUGUGCGCAAGCACCACUGUAGGAACUGUGGCAACAUCUACUGCAAUGAAUGCUCCCAGAGGACGGCCACUGUGGCAGCCUCCAAGAAGCCGGUGAGAGUCUGUGAAACCUGCUACAAUGAAGUGGUGAACAAGAGGUGACGCGGCAGCCACUGACAUCCUCUCAAAGAAUCCUCAGGCGUGAUCAUGUGUUGCAGCCACCGAACAACCAGUAAUAUUCAUAUGAUUCUGGUUGACAUGAUACCAAAUAUAUUCCUAAAUUGGAAAGGAAUGUCACUGACAAGUAUUGUUUUUUGAAGACUUAAUAUAGUGUUUUUGCUAGGGCUGGGAUGAUACACCAACUAUGCAAACUGAAACGUAUCACGAUACUUGCAUGUGCUCUUUUCUGCGUGAGCCCUGGUUUUCAUAGACAGGAUGGCCAAAUUCCUGGCACACUAUCAAUCUUACAGUUGGCAGUGUCAAGUAUGGCGCAGUGGAUGAAAAUAUUUACGUUUUCACUACUCAAUUUCACUAGUAAUUAGUGUUUGGUGUAACAUUUAAUAAGAAUACUUUAAGGUAAAAAUCAAUACUUUUUCCUUUGUGUGCGAUUGUCAUCGAUACUUGUAUCGAGAAUUAAAAUAUCGCGAUCCACCGAUGCAUUGGUGUAUCGUUCCACUACUAGUUUUUGCAGGACGAGUGAAGUCAGUAUUGUUGAUGAAGAUUGUGUAUUAAGAGUCCAUUGCACUGCUAUUAGGGCUGGGACGAGUCCAAAUUUACUACCCGGGUACCCACCCUCCAAUUACCCAACCCUACCCGGGUGCCCACUGUAGGUCUCAAGAGAUACUAAAUAUCUGUUUGGAAUUUUUUUACCACAGCACUUGCAAAAUGUAUUUAGAUACAUGUAUUAAACAAUCUGGUCAUGCAUACACUGAAGAUGACUUAAGUUACACAUAGUUGUACAUGUAUCUUUAUUCAACCAUAUGAAAAGUCAGAAGGUAUGGGUGCAUAGUCAGAAAGAAAUGCGAAUAUUAGUGACUUGUAGUGUAACCAUAGAGUUCUAGAUAAUUUUUGUCAUUAAACAAUAUAUCACGUGACUAACCACGGGUCCGGGUAGGCCUGUGGGUACCCGGGUCCUACUCAGUACCCACCCGAUCCGGGUACCCGAGUUACCCGUCUCAGCCCUAACUGCUAUGUCACUUGCAGGUAGUGGAGGUUGUUGAACAUGUAGUUGAAUCUACAGACUUGAGAUGUGUGAAGAUGAUGUGACCGAACUCCUGUUCUAAGUUAUUUUUUAAUAUCUAACUGGGCCAUAAUGAAUUAAUAACGUGAUAAUUAUGAUGGGCAACUUUCAACUAACAUAUGAUAAUUUGUCACAACAAACUGCCUCUUUUUGAAACUUCUAAGCAGGGGUAAGAAUCUUCCGCGGAUCCGGGAAUUUCUACAAUUUAGUGACCACAAAUUUGUUAAAAUCUGAUGGCUUCCUUCAUAAACAGCCCAAUUUAUGGACCACGCUCCAUUGCUAAUAAGUUUCAGCUGAAAAGGAAAAUAUCCAUUCUCAUUCCUGUAUGAGAUUUCUUUUCCCUAGAAUGAUUCUUUCAAGAAAAUUAAAAACAAAAUGUCUCAGACCUGCAAACUAUGUCUAAAAGAACAAUGGCUUAAGAUUUAGGAAUUAAAUCAUUGUGGCAUUAGUCUCUUUCUUGAACACAACCAUCGUCACUGUUGCAGUCUUUGACCAAGAUUUGCUGAUUAAUACUGUAUUCUACGUAAUAAGCGCCCAGGGCACUCUCAAAAUUAGAAAUAGGGGGCUCUUAUUAGAAUAUUAUUUUGGUUAAAAAACAGAGUUGAAAGAUUGUAAAUUUCGUGGUUUAUACUGACAGCCUGAAAUGUUAAUGUACGACAGAUAUAUUUUUCCAGUAUGUAAUUGUCCACAAUUAAGGGUUCAUAUAAACACGCAAGUGAGUAUUAUUCAUGAAUAAAUAAGUCUUGUGUACAUUGAUCAAUCAGAAGGGGUGCUAAUUGGGAUUGUUCCCUAGCCAAUAUAUUAGCAAAUAUAGCCAUGGGCGCUAAUUAGAGCGGGGAGCUUAUUACGUCGACUACGGUAAGUCCUGAUGAAGAAACUAUCAGUCUGUAAGUCACUUUCAGAAAGCCCCUACCAUGCUGUUAUGAGUUGAGGUUAGAUAGUAAAUGUUUAUCCCAUGUAGGUUAGGAAAUGAAGGAUGUCGUUCUGAAAUAGCCAAGCAAAGGGAACCAUUCCAGAAGUUACUGUCUUGAAUUCCAAUUCUGUUGGAAGUCCUGUUAUCCCUGGCUGCUACAUUCCUCAGUAUUCUGCUCUUAAAUGUAACUAUCCUGACCUGCAUGAAUCCCAAGUACUCAUGUGAGGGUCGAUCUUACGACAGAACAUCAAAAAAUGGCUGCUACAACUCUCAUACGACACACCUACAACUCUCAUACGACACACCUACAACUCUCAUACGACACAGCUACAACUCUCAUACGAUACACCUACAACUCUCAUGUGACACAGCUACAACUCUCAUUCUACACAGCUACAACUCUCAUAGGACACACCUACAACUCUCAUAGGACACACCUACAACUCUCAUACGACACACCUACAACUCUCAUAGGACACACCUACAACUCUCAUAGGACACACCUACAACUCUCAUACGACAAACCUACAACUCUCAUAGGACACACCUACAACUCUCAUACGACACAGCUACAACUCUCAUACGACACACCUACAACUCUCAUACGACACACCUACAACUCUCAUACGACACACCUACAACUCUCAUAGGACACACCUACAACUCUCAUAUGACACACCUACAACUCUCAUACGACACACCUACAACUCUCAUGUGACACAGCUACAACUCUCAUUCUACACAGUUACAACUCUCAUAGGACACACCUACAACUCUCAUAGGACACACCUACAACUCUCAUACGACACAGCUACAACUCUCAUACGACACACCUACAACUCUCAUAGGACACACCUACAACUCUCAUACGACACACCUACAACUCUCAUACGACACAGCUACAACUCACAAACGACACACCUACAACUCUCAUACGACACACCUACAACUCUCAUACGACACAGCUACAACUCUCAUUCUACACAGCUACAACUCUCAUACGACACACCUACAACUCUCAUUCUACACAGCUACAACUCUCAUACGACACAGCUACAACUCUCAUACGACACAGCUACAACUCUCAUACGACACACCUACAACUCUCAUUCUACACAGACCCAUUAAUGUGGCAUCAGAUUGUCAUCCUACUUGUCUCACUUCAAACCCAGGAACCAUUUUCUUCAGGAGCCAUGACAGCUAUUAGUAAUUAUUAUUUGAAACUGUAAAAUUACUUGUUCAAGAAUUGAAGUCACAAAUUUGCAUUUGGGCUUAUGUGUUGAAAAUAGGCAUGAAAAAUAAGUGACACAUUGAAUGCCGUCCCUGAAGCAGCUAUGUGUUCCUCGUCUACAGUUGUGUUCCGACUGUUUCCAUUCCUUACAUUCCGUUAUGAAUGUUAACCCAAUAGCUUGUAAAGAUUGUGUUGUAUAACCUGCAUAUCUUAAACUGCAUAUCAUAUACACCCAACUGGAUGCUUUAUCGUCCUCGAGUAUCUUGUGUGUUAUAAUGCAUUUCUGUAUUGAUAUGUGCCAUGGACACAUUUGCCACCUCAGCUUUGAUUUUGAAGUAACAUCUUCUUACUCUCUCCUAUCACUAACUUUGCCCAGAAUUUCAAAUUCACUGUCUGGUACGAGUGAGUCCUUGAUAAUAUUAUGUUCAGUUAAAUCAGGAUACUGCAAUAAGCAUGGUAAGUGAUUUUUUUCCUUAAAAAGUUGUUUCCACAAGUAUUUAAGCAGGGAAACAGCCCUUAUGCCACAAGGCAUCCCUAGUAAUUUGAAUUGAUGAUGUCAGGUCAUUUCGCACCGAGUUAUUUGGGCUCAAUAUGAAGCUUUGGUGGAGAAUCAGUCAAGGAUAUUUAUCAUGAUAGAAUGGCAAUAUAGCAUCCUGGAUUAUCGAGGAUGAUGCUUGACAGGUAUAUAAUACCCUGGAUUAUCAAGGAUGAUGCUUGGCAGGUAUAUAACACCCUGGAUUAUCAAGGAUGAUGCUUGACAGGUAUAUAACACCCUGGAUUAUCAAGGAUGAUGCUUGACAGGUAUAUAACACCCUGGAUUAUCAAGGAUGAUGCUUGACAGGUAUAAAUCCGGUGCAGUGAAAAUCAGUUUUGUUUUGACCUGCUUGUCCAGGAACCCAGUCUAGGCACCUACUGUUGGGGAUGGCUACAAAAUACAAGGGGACAAAACUUAGUACCGAUGAUUCGGUAAUCAAGACAAAUUCUCUGAGAAUGAUACCAUCCCAAUGAUACUGUGAUCAUAUGUUGAAUUAUUUGCUCUUGCAAAACAGUGAAUUGAAGUAAUAUCUUGUUAAUCUUGAUACUGAUUUGUCUUCAAAUGUAUUAUAUCCUAUGAUGUAUUGAGUGAGUUAAAAUUUUACAUCCCAUCUAUGAUGUACUGAAUUAUUUUGAAUUUUGUGUUCCUGGAAAUGAAUCGGUAUAUGAAUAUAUGAGUGGAUGGCUUACAUGUAUAGAUAGAUGAAUUGUGGUGGACGAUAAAUCUUAAGUAACUGAUCCAAGAAGUUGUACGAAGUAGGUUUCCAGAUACAUGUACGCUUAAAGUCCAUGUUAUCCCUGUGUAGCUUAUAGUACAUACACUUAGUUCAUCAUAAUCAUGUACCGUAUUCGAUGUAAUGAGCACCCAGGGCGCUCUCAAAAUAAGAAAAAGGUGGCUCUUAUUAGGCCUGAACUGUUUAUAUACGACAGAUAUAUUUUUCCUGAAUUUAA